rnacentral:rRNA from 1 species
ACUAGCACGUCGUUAAACCCUCCCGAGUAGUACCAGCUUACGCUUUAAACUCAAAGAAUUUGGCGGCGCCCCACCUACUUAGAGGAACCUGCCCCGUAAUCGAUGCCCCACGAUUUUACCUACCACUUUUAUAGUUUGUAUACCGCCGUGUAGGGUAUAUUAAAAAAGCUGCCCUUAAUUAUUUUUUAAAAAUUUCAGGUCAAGGUGCAGCCCAUAAAGUGGAGGAGGUGGGUUACAUUUUAUAAUUAGUGGACCACAACAUUAAAUUUUGUGCAAAAAAGGAUUUAAAAGUAAACCUAAUAAAUUUUAAGUGGCAUAGCCCUGGGC